CAAGCAAGGCUCCACGGGGGCUUGUGGACCCCCAGCCCGGCACCCUCACUCUUGGGGUCACCCUCCUGUGGGACGGGGGCCACUCGAGUCCUCCCCAGACAGAGCCAGGCGGACCCAGCUCGGCCCCUUCCAGCCACAUGACACGGGCAGCCCCUCUCCACUCCGUGUCCUCAGCUACCAGCUCGCCCCUCAGUCUCAUGGGACUGGAAGCACGGAGGAUGCACAUCAGACCCUGGCGCUUCUGAACACCCAAAGCCAGACACCAGGUGCUGCACAGUCCAGCUGGAGAGCAUCAUGCGUGAAGUAGCUGUUAGGACAGGGCCCAAGCCCCACUGUGAGGGGCCAGGCAGGCAAUAGAAAUUCUCUGUGAGAGUUCCUAUGCGACAGUCAUAUGGUCUGUAAAUAGAGACAAUUUUAUUUCUUCCUUUUCAA